rnacentral:misc_RNA from 1 species
AAGUCGUAACAAGGUUUCCGUAGGUGAACCUGCGGAAGGAUCAUUAAUGAAUUUAAGGGUUGUCCUCUUCAUCAGAGGGGAACCGACCCUUCAUUUCCAACCCUGUGCACUAUAUCUGGGAACUUGCGCAAGCGAGAACCCGUCCAUUUAACAUACUCUAAGUAAUUGGAAUGUAACAAAUACAAAACAAAAAAA